rnacentral:rRNA from 1 species
GACGAACGCUGGCGGCGUGCUUAACACAUGCAAGUCGAACGGAAAGGCCCUGCUUUUGUGGGGUGCUCGAGUGGCGAACGGGUGAGUAACACGUGAGUAACCUGCCCUUGACUUUGGGAUAACUUCAGGAAACUGGGGCUAAUACCGGAUAGGAGCUCCUGCUGCAUGGGGGGGGUUGGAAAGUUUCGGCGGUUGUGGAUGGACUAGCGGCUUAUCAGCUUGUUGGUGGGGUAGUGGCUUACCAGGGCUUUGACGGAUAGCCGGCCUGAGAGGGUGACCGGCCACAUUGGGACUGCGAUACGGCCCAGACUGCUACGGGCGGCAGCAGGCGGGAAUAUUGCACAAUGGGCGGAAGCCUGAUGCAGCAACGCCGCGUGCGGGAUGACGGCCUUCGGGUUGUAAACCUCUUUCGCCUGUGACGAAGCGUGAGUGACGGUAAUGGGUAAAGAAGCACCGGCUAACUACGUG